GACGAACGCUGGCGGCAUGCCUAACACAUGCAAGUCGAGCGAGUUGAUCCCUUCGGGGUGAAGCUAGCGGCGGACGGGUGAGUAACACGUGGGCAACCUGCCUCAUAGAGGGGAAUAGCCUUCCGAAAGGAAGAUUAAUACCGCAUAAGAUUGUAGCUUCGCAUGAAGCAGCAAUUAAGGAGUAAUCCGCUAUGAGAUGGGCCCGCGGCGCAUUAGCUAGUUGGUGAGGUAAAGGCUCACCAAGGCGACGAUGCGUAGCCGACCUGAGAGGGUGAUCGGCCACAUUGGGACUGAGACACGGCCCAGACUCCUACGGGAGGCAGCAGUGGGGAAUAUUGCACAAUGGGGGAAACCCUGAUGCAGCAAUGCCGCGUGAGUGAUGACGGCCUUCGGGUUGUAAAGCUCUGUCUUCGGGGACGAUAAUGACGGUACCCGAGGAGGAAGCCACGGCUAACUACGUGCCAGCCGCCGCAGUAA
rnacentral:rRNA from 1 species